UUUCAGUCAUUUUAUAGGGUUUUCUAGAGAGCUCAAGUGGAGGCGAUUUUAUGGUGACUCUGCUGUGUAUGCUUGUUUGGCUGAAAUCCACCAAACCGACCACCGAUCUUUGCUCUUUUGUUGUCUUGGUCGAAGAACAAGGCAGGAAUUGGAGAAUUUGAAGCGAUUGUGGCUAUGGGUCGUCGUAUAAGCGAUUGUGGCGAUUUUGUGGCGACUCUACACUAUGUGCUUGUUUGGCUGAAAACAAUGACCGAUCCUUGCUUUCAGUGGUGUUUUCGCUCAAUCUGACCACAGAUCUUUACCAUUUUGUUGUCUUCGUUGAAGAUCAAGGCAGAUGGCUUCACUACAAGAUAGUUUAAACAGAUUCAAGAAGCAGCAAGAGACCAACACUUGAAGACAAGGGAAGCCUUCACACCAGAGCAAUCAAAGGAUCCUGCCCUUCCUAGCUUCUUCUGAGAAGUUAGAAAAAGAGAUGGCUGAUGAUGUUGUUGAUUUUCUUUUGGAUAAAUAUGUGGGCAUGAGACCAACACUUGAAGGUGAUGUGUGUUGUUAUGAAGAUGAUGUGUCCUAUUAUUGAAGCUUGUUUCAUGGAAGUGAAAUUUGUGUUUUUUGAAGUAUGUCUCCUGUAAGAUAGUUUUUCUAAUACAUUCCUAACAGUUAAGAAAAACAUAAGGAAACAUCUUUUUAUUUGUUAAGCAUCUUUUUCUUCGUUUUUGAAUCAUAUUGUUGAAAUUUGUAAACAAUGAAGAGAAUUGUGUUUGAACUUUGAA